CCCUUAGAUGUCCUGGGCCGCACGCGCGUUACACUGAUGCAUUCAACGAGCUUAUAACCAUGGCCGAGAGGCCUGGGCAAUCUUGUUAACGUGCAUCGUGAUAGGGAUAGAUUAUUGAAAUUAUUAAUCUUGAACGAGGAAUUCCUAGUAAACGCAGAUCAUCAAUCUGCAUUGAUUACGUCCCUGCCCUUUGUACACACCGCCCGUCGCACCUACCGAUUGGAUGGUCCGGUGAAGCCUCGGGAUUGUGGUUCUUGCCGCUUUAUUGUGGCGUGACCGCGAGAACUUGUCUAAACCUUAUCAUCUAGAGGAAGGUGAAGUCGUAACA
rnacentral:rRNA from 1 species